UACGAAGGGGGCGAGCGUUGUUCGGAUUUACUGGGCGUAAAGGGCGCGCAGGCGGUUCUGUUUGUCAGGCGGGAAAUCUCACGGCUUAACUGUGAGCGUGCGGGCGAUACGGGCAGACUGGAGUACUGCAGGGGAGACUGGAAUUCCUGGUGUAGCGGUGGAAUGCGCAGAUAUCAGGAGGAACACCGGUGGCGAAGGCGGGUCUCUGGGCAGUAACUGACGCUGAGGAGCGAAAGCGUGGGGAGCGAACAGG
rnacentral:rRNA from 1 species